GAUGAACGCUGGCGGCGUGUCUAAGGCAUGCAAGUCGAACGGAUCCUUCGGGAUUAGUGGCGGACGGGUGAGUAACGCGUGGGAACAUACCCUUUGGUACGGAAUAGCCUCGGGAAACUGGGAGUAAUACCGUAUGUGGUCGAGAGACGAAAGAUUUAUCGCCAAAGGAUUGGCCCGCGUUGGAUUAGGUAGUUGGUGGGGUAAUGGCCUACCAAGCCGACGAUCCAUAGCUGGUUUGAGAGGAUGAUCAGCCACACUGGGACUGAGACACGGCCCAGACUCCUACGGGAGGCAGCAGUGGGGAAUCUUAGACAAUGGGGGAAACCCUGAUCUAGCCAUGCCGCGUGAUCGAUGAAGGCCUUAGGGUUGUAAAGAUCUUUCAGGUGGGAAGAUAAUGACUGUACCUGGAGAAUAAGCUCCGGCUAACUCCGUGCCAGCCGCCGCCGUAA
rnacentral:rRNA from 1 species